AUGCUCACAGGUGUUUAGCAGGUGAUUUUUGGUCUGAAUUGGUUUUUCCUCUAACAUACAGCCUUGGUCAUCUACAAUCAGUCCAAAAUUAGGUGCACCUGGCCCAGGGAGGAAGAGCUUAAAUGUUCCAUGUUCCUGUGGCAGUCAGAGGCAUUUUGAUUGUGGACUGCUGGUCUUACCUCUCUGCCUGGGAUUUUGUUAUUUUAGUUUUUCUGUUGUAUUGUCAUUGUUUAUCGCACUUAUUUAGUGUACUUGUUGUUUUGUAUCUUUUUGUUAAUAAAUCCCAUGGCUUGUU